GACGAACGCUGGCGGCGUGCCUAAUACAUGCAAGUCGAGCGGACCUCUUUGGAGGUCAGCGGCGGACGGGUGAGUAACACGUGGGCAACCUGCCUUUAAGACUGGGAUAACUCCGGGAAACCGGAGCUAAUACCGGAUACUAUGUCAAACCGCAUGGUUUGACAUUCAAAGACGGUUUCGGCUGUCACUUACAGAUGGGCCCGCGGCGCAUUAGCUAGUUGGUGAGGUAACGGCUCACCAAGGCGACGAUGCGUAGCCGACCUGAGAGGGUGAUCGGCCACACUGGGACUGAGACACGGCCCAGACUCCUACGGGAGGCAGCAGUAGGGCAUCUUCCGCAAUGGACGAAAGUCUGACGGAGCAACGCCGCGUGAGUGAUGAAGGUUUUCGGAUCGUAAAACUCUGUUGUCAGGGAAGAACAAGUGCCGGAGUAACUGCCGGCGCCUUGACGGUACCUGACCAGAAAGCCACGGCUAACUACGUGCCAGCAGCCGCAGUAACAC
rnacentral:rRNA from 1 species